rnacentral:rRNA from 1 species
AACGCUGGCGGCGUGCUUAACACAUGCAAGUCGAGCGAUGAAGUUUCCUUCGGGAAACGGAUUAGCGGCGGACGGGUGAGUAACACGUGGGUAACCUGCCUCAUAGAGUGGAAUAGCCUUCCGAAAGGAAGAUUAAUACCGCAUAACGUUGAAAGAUGGCAUCAUCAUUCAACCAAAGGAGCAAUCCGCUAUGAGAUGGACCCGCGGCGCAUUAGCUAGUUGGUGGGGUAACGGCCUACCAAGGCGACGAUGCGUAGCCGACCUGAGAGGGUGAUCGGCCACAUUGGGACUGAGACACGGCCCAGACUCCUACGGGAGGCAGCAGUGGGGAAUAUUGCACAAUGGGGGAAACCCUGAUGCAGCAACGCCGCGUGAGUGAUGAAGGUUUUCGGAUCGUAAAGCUCUGUCUUUGGGGAAGAUAAUGACGGUACCCAAGGAGGAAGCCACGGCUAACUACGUGCCAGCAGCCGCGGUAAUACGUAGGUGGCGAGCGUUAUCCGGAUUUACUGGGCGUAAAGGGAGCGUAGGCGGAUGAUUAAGUGGGAUGUGAAAUACCCGGGCUCAACUUGGGUGCUGCAUUCCAAACUGGUUAUCUAGAGUGCAGGAGAGGAGAGUGGAAUU